rnacentral:misc_RNA from 1 species
UCAAACUUGGUCAUUUAGAGGAAGUAAAAGUCGUAACAAGGUUUCCGUAGGUGAACCUGCGGAAGGAUCAUUACUGAGGUUGUGCGGUUAUGCCCUGUGAAAAGGGGCUGCCGGUUACCACCCGUCCUUGCGUCAUAUGCAGCGGAGCCGCACCGGAGACGUGUGCGGACCCGACAGAUUCACUUCGGCGGAGGUGUUGUGAGGCCUCCCGGUGACGGGGGGGAUCAUGACCGCCGCCGGUCGUAUGAUUAAAAACCUGUGUAAUUGUGGAAGUGUCUGAAUGAAUGAAGAAGAAUUUGAAAAAACUUUCAACAACGGAUCUCUUGGCUCUGGCAUCGAUGAAGAACGCAGC